GGCACCGGCGCUGCAUUUUGGAUGCACCAGUUUCCGAUGGAUCAUUAAAGUUGAGCAACAUUACUCGUAGUUAGUAUCCAGAUGGGUGACCAUAUGGGCAAUCGCGUGCUGUUGGCU
rnacentral:rRNA from 1 species